CUGAGACGGAAUUCAUAAGCAUGUGGUUGGGUGUGAUUCAGCACGUAGUAAAUGAACAUGAAUGGAUUCUUCCAUACAGAGUAGGUGCACAGAAUUAUUGUCUGCAUGGACCUCUGACAGAGGAGCGAGAGGGAGGUUGGUUAGAGGUAGGGUCAUCAGCUCAUGUUGCUCUGAGGGACACUAAUUGUUCGAGACAAGAGACUGCUAAAGAAAAUUUCAUAUUACUUGAAUUGCAGAAGUACAGCUGCAUUAGAAAAUUUUCAAAAUUUGAUUUUGAAAUACUCCUCAAAAUAACAUUCAUAUUCGACACCAGUAUACAAGGCGAGAAUCUUAAUUGCAGCGUUAGACCACAACUCUAACUGUGGUAGAGAAAUUUUAAGAA